CAUGCUGAAAACCCCAACUUCGGGAGGGGUGUAUUUAUUAGAUAAAAAACCAACGCCCUUCGGGGCUUCUUGGUGAUUCAUGAUAACUUUACGGAUCGCAUGGCCUUGCGCUGGCGACGGUUCAUUCAAAUUUCUGCCCUAUCAACUUUCGAUGGUAAGGUAUUGGCUUACCAUGGUUUCAACGGGUAACGGGGAAUUAGGGUUCGAUUCCGGAGAGGGAGCCUGAGAAACGGCUACCACAUCCAAGGAAGGCAGCAGGCGCGCAAAUUACCCAAUCCCGACACGGGGAGGUAGUGACAAUAAAUACUGAUACAGGGCUCUUUUGGGUCUUGUAAUUGGAAUGAGUACAAUUUAAACCUCUUAACGAGGAACAAUUGGAGGGCAAGUCUGGUGCCAGCAGCCGCGGUAAUUCCAGCUCCAAUAGCGUAUAUUAAAGUUGUUGCAGUUAAAAAGCUCGUAGUUGAAACUUGGGUCUGGCUGGCAGGUCCGCCUCACCGCGUGUACUUGUCCGGCCGGGCCUUCCUUCUGGAGAACCUCAUGCCCUUUACUGGGCGUGUUGGGGACCAGGACUUUUACUUUGAAAAAAUUAGAGUGUUCAAAGCAGGCCUUUGCUCGAAUACGUUAGCAUGGAAUAAUAGAAUAGGACGUGCGGUCCUAUUUUGUUGGUUUCUAGGACCGCCGUAAUGAUUAAUAGGGACAGUCGGGGGCAUCAGUAUUCAAUUGUCAGAGGUGAAAUUCUUGGAUUUAUUGAAGACUAACUACUGCGAAAGCAUUUGCCAAGGAUGUUUUCAUUAAUCAGUGAACGAAAGUUAGGGGAUCGAAGACGAUCAGAUACCGUCGUAGUCUUAACCGUAAACUAUGCCGACUAGGGAUCGGGCGAUGUUCUUUUUCUGACUCGCUCGGCACCUUACGAGAAAUCAAA
rnacentral:rRNA from 1 species